CUCACCUUCUCUCACUCGCGCGGCCUCUGUCUCUCUCUUCCCCCUCACCAAAUCGGCGGCGACGUCGCCCUGCUCUCUCUAUCUCCUCUCUCUCUCUCUCUCGCGCGCGCGCUUGCUCUCAGUCACUCUGCUCUCCUCUCUUCUCUUCUCUCUCUCUCGCUCUCACCCACAUCGCGACGGCGACUGUCACCUUCUCAGACCCGCAUCAGCGACCGCGAAUCCCUCUGGCCGCCUCUAUCCACCGCCAAUCUCUCAGGUAAUUUUGCAUGUAUUUUGUAUGAAUAUAUUAAUCCUGCCAGUUUGGUAGGUUUCAUUUGCUCAUUUUACAAGUAUGACAUACAAAAUGCAAGAUGUCAUUCCCCUAGACCAUUACAAUGUUCACAUUUUCAAUCGCAAGCAUGCUUAUCCAAUAUUUACAUUCAGUGAGGAACUUACAUUUCCUCCAGCAGACCUGAAAAUGGAAGAUAACAUCCUAGCAGUGGGUUGAACAUGAGCUGCUAUGUAUACAUCAUAGCCUUUAAGCAAGCCUUGGGGACUUGCUUUCGCUCUGAGAACUGCACCUCUUAACUCAGUUCUAUAUUUGAGCGCAUAUUCUCUGUCAUCUAAUAUGUAAGAUGAUUCAUCUGAAAAAAAGAAAUCCAACAAUGGGAAAAGAAAAAAAAAAGCUUAAGGUGUUACUAAUACAACAAAACCAUAGUCAAUUCAACUCACCCACAUAUCUUCCUUGACGAAAGCUUUCUUUCAAGCAGCUGGGAGAAACUAUCCAAGCUCUGCACAGCACAGAAAGCUCUAUUGAAUAAAAUAUAUUUAUAGGAUAAACAAUACUAGACUUUUCCUAAUAAAUUACGGCUAUAAACAGAAGGAUAUUAACUUGUUUGAGUGUUUUUGUGUGCUAUCUUUUCCUGUUUCUCUGCCACCAAAAGUAGUCUUUCUAAUUUAAGUGAAUACAUUUUCGGAUUUUAUGUUUGUUGUAUCUUAUCCCAUAGAAAGUAAUGAUUUAAUUUGUUAACAUCUCAGAAAUAAACAAGUCAUAGAGCUUUGUGAUGUAAGCGUCAAUAAAGUUUCUUCUGUUGUUUUCUUUACCCCUCGACAGGAUCAUAAGAUGAGCAGACCUUCAGCACUCAAACGGAAACAGCCAGACUCUAGUUCUCCGUCGGAGUCUUUGACAGAGCAUGAGAAAAUCGUAUAUAGUGUAAUCCGAAGCAAGCAAGAUAUGGGAAUUUGGACACGAGACAUGAAGAAAGAAGCGAACCUCCCAGACAAUCUGGUUGGCAAAUCCAUAAAAUCACUCCAAGCCAAGAACCUGAUAAAAGAGGUUGUGAAUGUCCAAAGCAAGGGGAGAAAGCAUUAUAUGGCUGCAGAGUUUGAGCCCUCCAAGGAGUUAACUGGCGGGGAUUGGUAUUCUAAUGGAACCCUCGAUAAAUAUUACAUAUCCUGUGUAAAAGAUGGGUUUGCAAAGAUCAUAUAUCAGCUCAAGGUUGCUACCUUGGAGGGAAUUUCAGAUGAAGUUAAAAAGAGCGGAAUAUUCAAAACUUCGUUCACAAAACAGCAAAUUGAGGAGAUUAUGAGGGUUUUGGUUUUGGACAAACGAGUCACGGAAGUGAAGAGCACUGGGAUGGGGGAGUUUGGUUCGUUUCCAGUUGGGAAAGUUUGCUAUAAAUCCACAAGCAAGGGAGGUAGUAAACGGGAACCCAAAGUAGGGGCCAUGGCUUCCAUUCCAUGUGGAGUUUGUCCACGGAUGAGUCAAUGUACACCAGACGGUAUUAUUUCCCCAAGGACUUGUGUCUACUUCACCAAAUGGUUGGAUUUCUGAACUUCUUGUAUGCAGGAACAAUUGUUUGGUAUGCUUUUGGAGGUUUUCUUCUUUUGUCCAUGUGAUGUACGGAGUCCUGCAGAAGCUUGAUGCCUCAAAAUUUUGCUUCUAAAUCC
rnacentral:lncRNA from 1 species